ensembl:lncRNA NAXD-AS1 NAXD antisense RNA 1
AAUAUCCAGUCCCUCUCGUCCAAGGACGUGCAGGGUCUGUACUUGCCCAGUCGCACUGGGACUUCAAAUUGGGGAUGCAGACACGGCCCUGCUCCUGGUGUGCGCGAAGCCCGCUCAGCCGGCCAGCUCGCCUGCACGCCCGCCGCGUCCCUGGGCCCCAGGAGGGCCCCCGUAUCCAGCUCCGACCAAACAGCAAGCCCGCAGUUGGCGAGCAUCUUUCCCAGACCGGGAGCGGGGACAGAGCAGAGCAGACGGAUCCGACCAGCGCACCACGGCGCCCCAGGGCCCUCCUACCGUCCUCGGCCCUCGGCCCCCCGUUCCCCGGCCACCGCGCGGGCUCCGCCGCUCCUGGGACGCGCACUGGCUCCGGCCCGGCGCCACCCUCUGCCCCUCUGUCACCCCGCACGGAGGCUCCCAUCACCCAAGCCGCGCCCAGCCGUCGCCGCGCCGUUCCAGGAGGCCUCCGUCCUCUCCCUACUCCGCCCCGCAGGCCACACGGCGCCCCGGCCCCGCGCGCGGGCUGCCCCUCGGCGGCGCUUCCCCCCCGCGAGCCAGCAGAGGCGGUCAGCGGUCGGGUACCUGCGUCCAGUGGCGGCCCGUACAGCGCGAGUGCGGCCGAGAGCAAUGCGACAACGACCGCGCCGGCGACGGCAGUUCCGGCCCCCGCGCGUGUGACCAUCCCCGGGCCAAAUGGAAUCGACCUUACCUCGUCUGCAAGCCCGGAUUGCCCCACAGCGAGGACCCAGGGCCAUCGGGCAGCAUUCCGGAUUCCCAGCUGCCCCCGCGCCGUCGCCGGAAACACAGCCAUUGGAAGCGUUUUCCGGUUUCCCGACCGCCUCCGCGCGGCUGUCGGCAGUGGGAUCCCAACUCGCUCAAUCACACCCGGUUCUAGAUGAUUGACAAGCGCGACGCCCAACCCGGCCUGGUCCCAGCUCUGGCCUAAGAGGUUCGGCUGGAAGGCAGGUUGAAGAGUUAACAACGAUCUGGUUCAGGGUCUGGUUUGUGUUUAUCGGCCCAUUUUUAGGCUUGCGGCGUUAUAGAAAAUGAUUUUGCUGGCAGGUGGAGUGCCGAGGCCCACUAUGUGCCCCCAGUAUAGCAGUCAGGUGCCUUUCUGCUCCAGGCGCAACCUCUGCCCUGAACCCCAAACCAGCUCGCUGCGAGGCCCCUUCGCUUUCCACCGUCUCAGGUCAGGGCAGCUCCAUCACUCCAACGCUGAGGCCCAAACCCCUGGAAGGCAUUCUGACCUCUCCUGCCCUCCCACCCACGCUCCUCCUGUGGCUGAUGGCCUCUUACCUCCACUGCCGCCCUAUUUGAAGCCACCGUCAUGGUGCUAAAAGAAACUUGUGGGGCCAGGUGCGGUGGCUCGCGCGUGUGAUCCCAAUGCUUUGGGAGGCCAAGAUGGAAGGAUCGUUUGAGCCCAGGAGUUUGAGACCAGCCUGGACAACAUAAGGAGACCCCCUUCUCUACCAAAAUUUUUUUGGAAAAUUAGCAGGGGAUGGUGUGGCACACCUGUAGUCCAGCUACUUGAGAGGCUGAGGUGAAAGGAUGGCUCAACAUGUCAGAGGCCUUUUAACCAGAGCGAUUCCAUCUUGAAUAGGGACUGGGUAAAAUGAGGGUGAGACCUACUGGGCUGCAUUCCCAGGGGGUUAGACAUUCUUGGCCACAGGAUGAGGUGGUGGGCACAAGAUACAGGUCACAAAGACCGCACUGAUAAGAUGACACAGUAAAGAAACUGGCCCAAAGCCUACCAAAACCAAGAUGGCCACAAAAGUGACCUCUGUGUCCUCAUUGCUCAUUAUUUGCUGAUUAUAACGUAUUAGCAUGCUAAAGGACACUCCUACCAGCGCCAUGAGAGUUUACAAAUGCUAUGGCAACAUCAGGAAAUUACUCUAUAUGGUCUAAAAAGGGGAGGAACCCUCAGUUCCAGCAAUUGCCAACCUCUUUCCCAGAAAACUCAUGAAUAAUCCCCUCCUUAUUUAGCCUAUAAUCAAGAGAUAACUAUAACUAUGUGUGGAGUUAGUUCCUGCCGGUGGGUUCAUGGUCUCACUGACUUCAAGAAUGAAGCUGCGGACCUUCACAGUGUUACAGCUCUUAAAGGUGGCAUAGACCCAAAGAGUGAGCAGCAGCAAGAUUUAUUAUGAAGAGGCCGGGCGUGGUGGCUCAUGCCUGUAAGCCCAGCACUUUGGGAGGCCGAGGCGGGUGGAUCACAAGGUCAGGAGAUCGAGACCAUCUUGGCUAACACGGUGAAACCCUGUCUCUACUAAAAAUACAAAAAAUUAGCCGGACAUGGUGGCGGGCGCCUGUAAUCCCAGCUACCCAGGAGGCUGAGGCAGGAGAAUGGCGUGAACCUGGGAGGCAGAGCUUCCAGUGAGCCGAGAUCGGGCCACUGCACUCCAGCCUGGGCCACAGAGCGAGACUCCACCUCAAAAAAAAAAAAAAAAAGAUUCAUUAUGAAGAGCAAAAGAACAAAGCUUCCACAGCAUGGAAGGGGACCCAAGUGGAUUGCUGCUGCUGGCUGGCGGGGGUGGGGGGGUGGGGCAGCUUUUAUUCCCUUAUUUCUCCCCUCCCAUGUUCUGUUUCUGCCCUAUCGGAAUGCCCUUUUUUCAAUCUUUCCUGCAAUUGGCUACUUUUAGGAUCCUGCUGAUUGGUGCGUUUUACAGAGCACUGAUUGGUGCAUUUUACAAUCCUCUUGCUAGCUACAGAGCGCUCAUUGGUGCAUUUUACAAUCCUAGCUACAGAGUGCUGAUUGGUGCAUUUUACAAUCCUCUUGUAAGACAGAAAAGUUCUCCAAGUCCCCACUCGACCCAGGAAGUCCAGCUGGCUUCAAGUCUCAUAAGUAUAUUCAGUCAAGCAGCCAGUGCCACUGCUCUGCCUAUGGAGUAGCCAUUCUUUUAUUCCCUUUCUUAAUAAGUUUGCUUUCAAUUUAUGGACUCGCCCAGAAUUCUUUCUUGCACAAGGUCCAAGAACCCUCUUGAGGUCUGGAUUGGAACCCCUUUCUGAUAACAGAGUGAAACCCUGAACUACACCUACCAGACCAAACCAGUAAGGAGUUUAACUACAGUAACUGAGCUUUACUUCAUGGCAGGAAACUCUGUAACCAGUUAAGCAAUGAAGUUAUAAUCAAAUUAGCUGUCUCCAUCACACACUUCUGUUUCCUAUAGGUGCUGUCAGAUCAGGUUCCUGAUUGGAGUUCUCUUAUCUGCUCUGGUUUGGAGGGCUGCCCCAUUCGGGAAUCUGUUUUGUUUUGCUCAAAUACACUCAGUUAAAACAUA